ACUAGAGAGAAGGAGGAGAGUUUGAGCAGAAAAGAAAGAGGGGGCAAAGUGAUAGUAUCUGAAAAUAGAAGGAAAAGCACAGAAGCCCCUGGAGAGGAGACCAUAGAAGGAGGAGGGAUAGGAUGGAGGUAGGGAGCUGGGAAUAGGCAAGCUGAGAAGAAAAACCCGCUGCUCAUUAAGGUAUCCACUCCCACUGAGAGACCUGAGGCUUUCCUCCCCUGGCCCAGAGCCUCAGUUUCCCUCUGAUGGAAGGGAGAAUAGCCUGAUCUUAGUAAGACUGAGCUUCAGUGUGCCCUGGGGAGGGGGCUAAGAGGAAAUCAGGUGAAACUCUGAAUAGAGUGGAGGCUAUAAAGAUGGGCAUAAUGGCUUUUGAGCUAUGAGAUAAGACCAGGCACAACAGUGUCAGGGUCUAUUUCCUGUGGAAGACCCUUGCCCUCCUGAAGAGGUCUGAGUCCACCCCCACCUUUGUCUCUUUUCUGGAGCCCAGUACUCCCUAGUUGCCAUGGCAAUGGCCAGCCAGAAGGAGGUGGAGGGAACUGGUCAGGAGGCCCCCACCACCACCCUCCUCUACAGCUUUGGACCCCUUCCCACACACCAACCCCCAGGCCCAGCUGGUGGGUUUAGGAAGAUAGAGGUGGGAGUCAGAGGGAGGCAGGGAGGCAGGCAGGAUGUGAAGGGCAGAGAGAAGGAGGUGAAGGACAGAGAGAUCAGAAGCAAAGAGAAGGAUCCCGGGGGCUCCGACGCCCACAGGGUCCCUCGCCCUUCGCAGUGAAGGGGAUCCAGGACAAGGCCUGAUUUGCAGUGAGGGGCUGGCCAGAAAAGGUCACACAUGCAGGAUGCGUUUUUACCAGCCUCAGGUGUUCAAGGGCCUAGUGGGGGACAGAGUGGGUCCUGAGGGCUUGCUUACCCUUCGGUGUCGGCACUUGACACAACAGAAGAUGCAGAGCCCAGCGAGGAGCAGGAAGCUCAAGGCGCCUCCAAUUAUGGCAGCCAGGAACAUUGACUGGACACAGGAAGAAGACUACAGUCCACAAGCCAGGAAGAAAGCCUUCACCAGAACCUGCCCAUGAAAUCAGACUUCCAGCUUCCAGAACUGUGAUAAAUAAAUUUCUGUUGCUUAAA